AAAUAAUCGGGCAUCAAACAUACCACCGAAGCUCUAAGUUGCACAUUAGAUGUGUAUACGGUAGGGGAGCAUUCUGAACUGCGUCGAAGGUGUCAGGCGACUGAUGCUGGAGCGUUCAGAAACGAAAAUGUAGGCAUAAGUAGCGAUAAAAGUAGUGAAAAACUACUUCACCGUAAGACUAAGGGUUCCUGAUCAACGUUAAUCGGAUCAGGGUUAGUCGGGUCCUUAGGCAAACCCGAAAGGGGUAUCUGAUGGAAAGCUGGUUAAUAUUCCAGCACCCGUUUUAGUUUCGAUGGGGUGACGCAGUAUUGAAAGUUCCCCGCACUUACGGAAUAGUGCGGUUAAGGUUGUAGCUAUUUUUUUGGCAGGUAAAUCCGCUGAGAAAGGCAAAGUACGAAAGUACACCAAGGCUUCGGCUGCGGUGAGUGAACCUAAAAGCUGCCGAGAAAAACCUCUAAGGUUAGGCUAUUACGGCCCGUACCGCAAACCGACACAGGUAGACGGGAUGAAUAUUCUAAGGCGCUCGGGUGAGCCGUGGAGAAGGAACUAGGCAAAUUGACGCUGUAACUUCGGGAUAAAGCGUACCAUCUUCGGAUGGUCUCAGUAAAAUGGUUCAACCAACUGUUUAACAAAAACACAGGGCCCUGCAAAAUCGAAAGAUGACGUAUAGAGCCUGAUACCUGCCCGGUGCUGGAAGGUUAAGGAAGGGUGUUCGGCGCAAGCCAAAGCUCCUGACUGAAGCCCCAGUAAACGGCGGCCGUAACUAUAACGGUCCUAAGGUAGCGAAAUUCCUUGUCGGGUAAGUUCCGACCUGCACGAAUGGUCUAAUGAGUUGAACACUGUCUCCUCCACGAGCCCGGUGAAAUUGUAGUAUCGGUGAAGAUGCCGGUUACCCGUCACGGGACGGAAAGACCCCGUGAACCUUCACUACAACUUUGCAUUGAUUUUGAGCAAACGAUGUGUAGAAUAGUUGGGACGCUACGAAGCGGUGCCGCCAGGUGCCGUGGAGCGGUCGUUGAAAUACCAACCUUCGUUUGCUUAGAGUCUAAUCCCUAACGAGAAACAGUGCAUGGUGGGUAGUUUGACUGGGGUGGUCGCCUCCUAAAAAGUAACGGAGGCUUGCAAAGGUUCCCUCAGUACGGUUGGUAAUCGUACGAAGAGCGCAUUAGUAUAAGGGAGCUUGACUGUGAGACAGACAAGUCGAGCAGGGUCGAAAGACGGCUAAAGUGAUCCGGUGGUUCUGUAUGGAAGGGCCAUCGCUCAAAGGAUAAAAGGUACUCCGGGGAUAACAGGCUGAUCUCCCCCAAGAGCUCAUAUCGACGGGGAGGUUUGGCACCUCGAUGUCGGCUCGUCACAUCCUGGGGCUGGAGAAGGUCCCAAGGGUUCGGCUGUUCGCCGAUUAAAGUGGCACGUGAACUGGGUUCAGAACGUCGCAAGACAGUUCGGUCCCUAUCUGUGGUGGGCGCAAGUAAAUUGAGAGGACAUGACCUUAGUACGAGAGGACCGGGUCGUACGUACCGCUGGUGUAUCUGUUGUGCCGCCAGGUGCAGUGCAGAGUAGCUAUGUACGGACAGGAUAAACGCUGAAAGCAUCUAAGCGUGAAACCUUCCUCAAGAUGAGUUUACUUUUAAGAGCCGUCAAAGACGAUGACGUUGAUAGGCUACAGGUGUAAAGCUGGUGACAGCAAAGCCGAGUAGUACUAAUUGCCUGUACGCUUUAAUUU
rnacentral:rRNA from 1 species